CCUAUCUCAUUAAUGGUGAAGACAGCUGUCCCCAUUAUGCUUCAGUGGGGUGAAGUACAGUGAGAACAAAAGUCUGGAGAAGACAUUAUGCAUAGGAGAGAAGGGCAGGAAGGUGUCCAGGAGCCUGGAAUAGAGGUAAUUCAGAUGAAGCUCCUAUCUGACAGCAGGACCUGGAGGAGCAUUAUUGCCAAGCCAUCUGGGAUGGAAAUUCAGUAACGAGAGGACGCUACUACACCGUUCUAUCAUCUGUGAAGAUUUCCUGGAAAUUGCAAGCCUUGAUACACAAGAAAGUCCAGAACUGUAGAAGAGGAUAGUGAGGACUGGAUUGAUGGCCUUUGUAUUGCUGCUGCUUUCCUUGAUGGAUGGGAACACCGCUUUGUUUCUGAAGGUUGCAGCUGGAGCCAACAUCACCCCAACAGAACUGCUGUCGAUAGGAUUUUCUCACCUUUGAGAGGAGCACCCAAACGAACAUCCUGUGAUAUGUAUUACUGCAUACCUCCAUUUUCUUCUGCACCUGACAAGGACAGUCUGAUGCUGCCAGCCCUCCGGAAGGAGGCAGCUUGCCACCGAUG